AAAAAAAAAAAAAGAAUAAAGAAAUGGCUUUGCUCUCGGCGAUGAAGUUGCAGGGACGUCCACCACCGAUCUCGUCCAAUCUCAACCCAAAUUCCAAACCUGCAGGUUCGGAUUCCGUUUCCUUAAACGCCUCCGAACCUGGCUCCGAACGGAAGCCUCGGAAAUUCAGCUCACAGCUAAACCGCUGGAACAGAGCACGAACCUUAAGGUCUGGCGCGAAGCUGGACAGUACGAUUACUAAUGGAUCAAACAAUACGACCGGUCCGAU
rnacentral:lncRNA from 1 species